rnacentral:rRNA from 1 species
UACGUAGGGAGCAAGCGUUGUCCGGAAUUAUUGGGCGUAAAGAGCUCGUAGGCGGCCUGUUGCGUCCGCUGUGAAAGCCCGGGGCUUAACCCCGGGUCGGCAGUGGAUACGGGCAGGCUAGAGGUAGGUAGGGGAGAAUGGAAUUCCCGGUGUAGCGGUGAAAUGCGUAGAUAUCAGGAGGAACACCUGUGGUGUAGACAGCUUACUGGACCAUUUCUGACGCUGAGACACGAAAGCGUGGGUAGCAAACAGG